AAUGACCUAAUUCAUGGAAAAUAUAUGACUACCUUAGGGUCUCAUCCAUUGGUCAAAGCCAUUGUAAACUUUAAGGCAAAUUUAAUUUCCUCUUAAGGUCGAGAGACCAUACAUUAUAGAAGUUUGGUGAAGUCAUGAUUACUAGAUAGCCUUACGUUAUGACUCACUGUAAGUCCUGUCCUAUGUUUAACCAUAUACAUUGGUACACUCACCAUGAGAAACCUAUCAUAAUGGAUAAGACUAGUCAUCCCUCAAAUUAGGAGGUAGUGUACUAUAACUUGAAAUGGAUUGUCUAAGUCCAUGAAUCAAUUGUGAACAAAUCAUCUACUUGUAAGGAAUCUAUGACUUGGAUCUUCUGUGCAACUUCUAACACAUCCAAGUCUCGUACAAUGCAAAAAAUGUCAGAUCGGAAUACUCAUAAGAUAUAAUGUAUGAAAUAAUAGAUAAAAGGAAAAC
rnacentral:lncRNA from 1 species